rnacentral:rRNA from 1 species
GCUACUGCCAUCAGAGUUCGAUUAAGCCAUGUUAGUCGAGGGUGCUUCUUCUUCGGAAGAGGUAACCCGGCGGACGGCUCAGUAACACGUGGAUAACUUGCCCUUGGGUCCGGGAUAACCCCUGAGAAAUUGGGGACAAUACCGGAUAGGGCAUCGUUAGCUGGAAUGCGCGAUGUCCAAAAGCUGAGGCGCCCAAGGAUAGGUCUGCGGCCGAUUAGGUUGUUGUUGAUGUAAUGGAUCAACAAGCCUGCAAUCGGUACGGGUUGUGAGAGCAAGAGCCCGGAGAUGGGUUCUGAGAAAAGAACCCAGGUCCUACGGGACGCAUCAGGCGCGAAAACUUUACAAUGUGCGAAAGCACGAUAAGGGAACUCUGAGUGCCUCCUAUGGAGGCUGUUCAGGUGUCUAAAAAGCACUUGAAGUAAGGGCUGGGUAAGACCGGUGCCAGCCGCCGCGGUAACACCGGCAGCCCAAGUGGUAGCCACGAUUAUUGGGUCUAAAGCGUCCGUAGCCGGCCAGGUAAGUUCUUUGGGAAAUUUAACCGCUUAACGGUUAAGCUUUCAGGGAAUACUGCUUGGCUUGGGACCGGGAGAGGUCAGAGGUACUUCAAGGGUAGGGGUGAAAUCCGUUAAUCCUUGAGGGACCACCAGUAGCGAAGGCGUCUGACCAGACCGGGUCCGACGGUGAGGGACGAAGGCUAGGGUCGCGAACCGGAUUAGAUACCCGGGUAGUCCUAGCUGUAAACGAUGCGGGCCAGGUGUUGGCAUUACUGCGAGUGAUGUCAGUGCCGAAAGGGAAGCCGUUUAAGCCCGCCAUCUGGGGAGUACGGUC